ACGAAUAUAGAAACAUUUGAGCACAUUAAAUCGCUCAACCAAUCUUCGCUUAAGGUCCCAUCUUUCGCCUACUUCGUUAAGAAAUCAGCAGCUGCAACAUAUUAUCGAUCGCAGUGAUGCACAUGAAUCUCAUAAACCCUGAGGCGUUCUGAAUCUCAUAAAUCACUUUGAAAUUCUCAUUCAGUGAAGGGGGCUGGAUCGACGGGCAUGCCUGGCUCCACAUCUCACCGGCAAAACCACACUUGAAGAAAAGAUGCUCACUCAUCUCUUCCUGAGCUCCACAUCGCACACACAAGGAGUUUGGGGAACAUCUCCUCCUUGUCAAAUUGACCUUCGUAGACAGCUUAUCCUCACACGCUUUCCACAAGAAAAGUUUAAUCGUUGGAAGUAAAGUUGCCACAGCGAUUUCCACUCUUGAUCAUGGACAUUCCCCCGUUUCCAAUCAUACCUUGCUGCCCAUGCUUCAACAAACGAUAACAAGAUUUCACUGUGAACUCUUCCCCCUACGGUCGAAGUGCCAAAUCCAAUUAGAACUGGACAAUGGACUGUGGGCUUGAUCCCUUCAAAAGACCUUGAUUGACCUCUCUGUGGAAGAGGAAGGACAAUGCAUUUAA
rnacentral:lncRNA from 1 species